GCUGGCGGCGUGCCUAACACAUGCAAGUCGAACGAGAAAGUGGAGCAAUCCAUGAGUAAAGUGGCGACCGGGUGAGUAACACGUGACUACCUGCCCUUGAGUGGGGGAUAACCUCGGGAAACCGAGGCUAAUACCGCAUAAUAUCGAAAGAUCAAAGGAGCAAUCCGCUUUUGGAGGGGGUCGCGGCUGAUUAGCUAGUUGGUAGGGUAAUGGCCUACCAAGGCGAAGAUCGGUAUCCGGCCUGAGAGGGCGCACGGACACACUGGAACUGAAACACGGUCCAGACUCCUACGGGAGGCAGCAGUGGGGAAUUUUGCGCAAUGGGGGAAACCCUGACGCAGCAACGCCGCGUGGAGGAUGAAGCCCCUUGGGGUGUAAACUCCUUUCGACCGGGAAAAUAAUGAUGGUACCGGUGGAAGAAGCACCGGCUAACUCUGUGCCAGCAGCCGCGGUAAUACAGAGGGUGCGAGCGUUGUUCGGAAUUAUUGGGCGUAAAGGGCGCGUA
rnacentral:rRNA from 1 species